AGAGUUUGAUCCUGGCUCAGGAUGAACGCUAGCGAUAGGCUUAACACAUGCAAGUCGAGGGGCAUCACGAGGUAGCAAUACUUUGGUGGCGACCGGCGUACGGGUGCGUAACACGUAUGCAACCUUCCUGUAAGUGUGGGAUAGCCUCCUGAAAGGGAGAUUAAUACCUCAUGAUAUGUAUUUGCUGCAUGGCAUUUACAUUAAACAUUUAUGGCUUACAGAUGGGCAUGCGUUCCAUUAGGCAGUUGGUGUGGUAACGGCUCACCAAACCUACGAUGGAUAGGGGUUCUGAGAGGAAGGUCCCCCACACUGGAACUGAGACACGGUCCAGACUCCUACGGGAGGCAGCAGUGAGGAAUAUUGGUCAAUGGGCGCGAGCCUGAACCAGCCACGUCGCGUGAAGGAUGACGGCCUUAUGGGUUGUAAACUUCUUUUACAGGGGAAUAAAGUGAGUCACGUGUGAUUUUUUGCAUGUACCCUGUGAAUAAGCAUCGGCUAACUCCGUGCCAGCAGCCGCGGUAAUACGGAGGAUGCGAGCGUUAUCCGGAUUUAUUGGGUUUAAAGGGUGCGUAGGCGGGAUAUUAAGUCAGCGGUGAAAGUUUUCGGCUCAACCUUAAAAUUGCCGUUGAAACUGUUAUUCUUGAGUGCAGUAGAGGUAGGCGGAAUUCGUUGUGUAGCGGUGAAAUGCGUAGAUAUAACGAGGAACUCCGAUUGCGUAGGCAGCUUACUAUAUUGCUACUGACGCUGAGGCACGAAAGUGUGGGUAUCAAACAGGAUUAGAUACCCUGGUAGUCUACACAGUAAACGAUGAAUACUAGCUGUUUGCGAUAUAUUGUAAGCGGCCGAGCGAAAGCAUUAAGUAUUCCACCUGGGGAGUACGUCGGCAACGAUGAAACUCAAAUGAAUUGACGG
rnacentral:rRNA from 1 species